rnacentral:rRNA from 1 species
AUUGAACGCUGGCGGCAUGCUUUACACAUGCAAGUCGAACGGCAGCACGGGCUUCGGCCUGGUUGCGAGUGGCGAACGGGUGAGUAAUAUAUCGGAACGUACCCAGUAGUUGGGGAUAACGUAGCGAAAGUUACGCUAAUACCGCAUACGAUCUAUGUAUGAAAUCAGGGGACCGCAAGUCCUUGUGCUCCUGGAUCUGCCGAUAUCUGAUUAGCUAGUUGGUGAGGUAAAGGCUCACCAAGGCGACGAUCAGUAGCUGGUCUGAGAGGACGACCAGCCACACUGGAACUGAGACACGGUCCAGAGUCCUACGGGAGGCAGCAGUGGGGAAUUUUGGACAAUGGGCGCAAGCCUGAUCCAGCAAUGCCGCGUGAGUGAAGAAGGCCUUCGGGUUGUAAAGCUCUUUUGUCAGGGAAGAAACGGUAGAGGCUAAUAUCCAUAGCUAAUGACGGUACCUGAAGAAUAAGCACCGGCUAACUACGUG